GACGAACGCUGGCGGCGCGCCUAACACAUGCAAGUCGAACGAGCGAGAGAGAGCUUGCUUUCUCGAGCGAGUGGCGAACGGGUGAGUAACGCGUGAGUAACCUGCCUUUCAGAGGGGGAUAACAGUUGGAAACGACUGCUAAUACCGCAUAACGUAUUUUGAUCGCAUGAUUGAGAUACCAAAGCUGAGGCGCUGAAAGAUGGACUCGCGUCUGAUUAGAUAGUUGGUGAGGUAACGGCUCACCAAGUCGACGAUCAGUAGCCGGACUGAGAGGUUGAUCGGCCACAUUGGGACUGAGACACGGCCCAG
rnacentral:rRNA from 1 species